rnacentral:piRNA from 1 species
UGCAGCCAUUGUAUGACCAGGAGAAA